rnacentral:rRNA from 1 species
UACGUAGGGGGCUAGCGUUGUCCGGAAUCAUUGGGCGUAAAGAGCGUGUAGGCGGCUCGGUAAGUCCGCUGUGAAAGUCCAGGGCUCAACCCUGGAAUGCCAGUGGAAACUGUCGAGCUAGAGUCCGGAAGAGGCGAGUGGAAUUCCUGGUGUAGCGGUGAAAUGCGCAGAUAUCAGGAGGAACACCAGUGGCGAAGGCAGCUCGCUGGGACGGUACUGACGCUGAGACGCGAAAGCGUGGGGAGCAAACAGG